rnacentral:snoRNA from 1 species
CCAUGGUGGUGAGGGCAUUGAGUAAUGUAGCCCUUGAAGCGUUCCCAUGCUUCAGAGAAUGAAUCAGAAUUCUUCUGUGUGAAUCUUGAAAUCUCAUUCCUCAAUCU